rnacentral:rRNA from 1 species
AAGGUGGCUUUUGGGCUGUCGCAGAUGGAUGAGCCUGCGUUGGAUUAGCUAGUUGGUGAGGUAAGGGCCUACCAAGGCUACGAUCCAUAGCUGAUUUGAGAGGAUGAUCAGCCACAUUGGGACUGAGACACGGCCCAAACUCCUACGGGAGGCAGCAGUGAGGAAUAUUGGACAAUGGGGGCAACCCUGAUCCAGCAAUGCCAUGUGUGUGAAGAAGGCCUUAGGGUUGUAAAGCACUUUAGUUGGGGAAGAAAGCUUUGAGGUUAAUAGCCUUGAGGAAAAGGACGUUACCCAAAGAAUAAGCACCGGCUAACUCCGUGCCAGCAGCCGCGGUAAUACGGGGGGUGCAAGCGUUAAUCGGAAUUACUGGGCGUAAAGGGUCUGUAGGUGGUUUGUUAAGUCAGAUGUGAAAGCCUAGGGCUCAACCUUGGAACUGCAUUUGAUACUGGUAAACUAGAGUACGGUAGAGGAAUGGGGAAUUUCUGGUGUAGCGGUGAAAUGCGUAGAGAUCAGAAGGAACACCAAUGGCGAAGGCAACAUUCUGGACCGAUACUGACACUGAGGGACGAAAGCGUGGGGAUCAAACAGGAUUAGAUACCCUGGUAGUCCACGCUGUAAACGAUGAGUACUAGCUGUUGGAGUCGGUGUAAAGGCUCUAGUGGCGCAGCUAACGCGAUAAGUACUCCGCCUGGGGACUACGGCCGCAAGGCUAAAACUCAAAGGAAUUGACGGGGACCCGCACAAGCGGUGGAGCAUGUGGUUUAAUUCGAUGCAACGCGAAGAACCUUACCUGGUCUUGACAUCCUGCGAUCUUUCUAGAGAUAGAUUGGUGCCUUCGGGAACGCAGUGACAGGUGCUGCACGGCUGUCGUCAGCUCGUGUUGUGAAAUGUUGGGUUAAGUCCCGCAACGAGCGCAACCCCUAU